AAUUUGUACACAAAAUUGGUGUAGAUCCUCUCAAGUGUCAGUAGAUAUUGAAGAGCUUGUGGAGGAGUUAGAACAUAUGGAAUUAGAACUUGCUCCAAUACCACAAUUGAAUGAAGAUGUAUCUGACAAUGAUUUUGAUUAGUUGCUGCACUUGGAGCUACUCUUGAUAUGGCUAAUUAGAAAGAAUGAUGAAGAGUUGAAGACUUUGUUUUGCAUAUCUCUAUUGAAGUUUUUUGGAAUGUACUGAAUUUGUUUAGUCAUUAUAGCUCUUCAAUUUUUAGAGUGUAUUGUUUUUGUUUUAUCAAUUUAGAACUGUUAUGCUUCAACUUUGUUAUGAGAACUUUUUUGUUUUAUCAAGU